rnacentral:sRNA from 1 species
UGGCAGUUGGUGGAGGCAUGACCAAAGGC